GAAGUGCGAAUGCUGACAUAAGUAACGAUAAAGCGGGUGAAAAGCCCGCUCGCCGGAAGACCAAGGGUUCCUGUCCAACGUUAAUCGGGGCAGGGUGAGUCGACCCCUAAGGCGAGGCCGAAAGGCGUAGUCGAUGGGAAACGGGUUAAUAUUCCCGUACUUGGUGUUACUGCGAAGGGGGGACGGAGAAGGCUAUGUUGGCCGGGCGACGGUUGUCCCGGUUUAAGCGUGUAGGCUGGUUUUCCAGGCAAAUCCGGAAAAUCAAGGCUGAGGCGUGACGACGAGGCACUACGGUGCUGAAGCAACAAAUGCCCUGCUUCCAGGAAAAGCCUCUAAGCAUCAGGUAACACGAAAUCGUACCCCAAACCGACACAGGUGGUCAGGUAGAGAAUACCAAGGCGCUUGAGAGAACUCGGGUGAAGGAACUAGGCAAAAUGGUGCCGUAACUUCGGGAGAAGGCACGCUGACACGUAGGUGAAGUGAUUUACUCAUGGAGCUGAAGUCAGUCGAAGAUACCAGCUGGCUGCAACUGUUUAUUAAAAACACAGCACUGUGCAAACACGAAAGUGGACGUAUACGGUGUGACGCCUGCCCGGUGCCGGAAGGUUAAUUGAUGGGGUCAGCGCAAGCGAAGCUCCUGAUCGAAGCCCCGGUAAACGGCGGCCGUAACUAUAACGGUCCUAAGGUAGCGAAAUUCCUUGUCGGGUAAGUUCCGACCUGCACGAAUGGCGUAAUGAUGGCCAGGCUGUCUCCACCCGAGACUCAGUGAAAUUGAACUCGCUGUGAAGAUGCAGUGUACCCGCGGCAAGACGGAAAGACCCCGUGAACCUUUACUAUAGCUUGACACUGAACAUUGAGCCUUGAUGUGUAGGAUAGGUGGGAGGCUUUGAAGCGUGGACGCCAGUCUGCGUGGAGCCGACCUUGAAAUACCACCCUUUAAUGUUUGAUGUUCUAACGUGGACCCGUUA
rnacentral:rRNA from 1 species